GCGCCAGGAGGGGAGGGGGACGGGAACCGGGGGCCUUGCGCGGCGCGAGCUCUGGGUGCGGGGUGGCGCGGGUGUGCCCCGUGGGGUCCAUCACCAGGGUAGCCGCGGUCCGCUCCCACCUGGACCAGGAUAAGCGGUGACCACAGUCCCUUCCACGGGGACCAGGACCAGCGGUGCCCACAGUCCAUCCCAUGGGGACCAGGACAAGCGGUGACCACAGUCCCUCCCAAGAGGACCAGGACCAGCGGUGACUCCCAAGAGGACCAGGACCAGCAGUGACCACGGUCCCUUCCACAGGGAACAGGACCAGCGGUGACCACAGACCAUUCUCACGGGGACCAGGACCACCAGUGACCACGUCUCUCUACAGCUUGUGAGUGGUUGCACCAGAUGCAGAACUGCUCUCUAGAGGACUUUUAGAAAUUUGGGGAUGGAGAAGGAAAUUUGUUGUCAGAAUGAUUAAGGAAUGUCAUCAAUAUUUCACAACUAGGCCCGGAAGUUUUAACACCUUGCAACGUGUAGGACAUCCCUGCCUAAAGAAAAAAUGCUCUUCCCCAAAUGCCAGUAGAUACCUGUAUUAGUCAGGGUUCUCCGAGGAAACAGAACUAAUGGGAGAUUGAUAUUCGUAAAUGGAGAUUUAUUAUGAGG